UACGGAAGGCAGCAGUGGGGAAUAUUGCACAAUGGGCGCAAGCCUGAUGCAGCCAUGCCGCGUGUAUGAAGAAGGCCUUCGGGUUGUAAAGUACUUUCAGUCGUGAGGAAGGUGUUAAGGUUAAUAACCUUAGCAAUUGACGUUAGCGACAGAAGAAGCACCGGCUAACUCCGUGCCAGCAGCCGCGGUAAUACGGAGGGUGCGAGCGUUAAUCGGAAUUACUGGGCGUAAAGGGCACGCAGGCGGUUAAUUAAGUUGGAUGUGAAAUCCCCGGGCUUAACCUGGGAAUGGCAUUCAAGACUGGUUAGCUAGAGUCUUGUAGAGGGGGUAGAAUUCCGAUGUGUAGCGGUGAAAUGCGUAGAGAUGUGGAGGAAUACCGGUGGCGAAGGCGGCCCCCUGGCAAAGGACUGACGCUCAUGUGCGAAAGCGU
rnacentral:rRNA from 1 species